GACAAAUGCUGGCGGCGUGCUUAACACAUGCAAGUCGAACGGUACUCCUACGGGAGUAUAGUGGCGGACGGGUGAGUAACACGUAGCUAAUCUACCCUGAUGUGGGGAAUAACCCCUCGAAAGAGGAGCUAAGACCGCAUAAGUUCUCUCUUGUUAGAGAGAGAAGAAACUUUGGCAGUGAAAAGCCAGAGGCGUUAGGAUGAGGCUGCGGCGGAUUAGCUAGANGGGUGGGGUAAAGCCUACCAUGGCGACGAUCCGUAGCUGGUCUGAGAGGACGACCAGCCACACUGGGACUGAGACACGGCCCAGACUCCUACGGGAGGCAGCAGUGAGGAAUAUUCCACAAUGGGCGCAAGCCUGAUGGAGCGACGCCGCGU
rnacentral:rRNA from 1 species